rnacentral:rRNA from 1 species
CCUACGGGAGGCAGCAGUGGGGAAUUUUCCGCAAUGGGCGAAAGCCUGACGGAGCAACGCCGCGUGAGGGAUGAAGGCCUCUGGGCUGUAAACCUCUUUUAUCAAGGAAGAAGAUCUGACGGUACUUGAUGAAUAAGCCACGGCUAAUUCCGUGCCAGCAGCCGCGGUAAUACGGGAGUGGCAAGCGUUAUCCGGAAUUAUUGGGCGUAAAGCGUCCGCAGGCGGUCUUGUAAGUCUGUCGUUAAAGCGUGGAGCUUAACUCCAUUUCGGCGGUGGAAACUACAAGACUAGAGUGUGGUAGGGGCAGAGGGAAUUCCCGGUGUAGCGGUGAAAUGCGUAGAUAUCGGGAAGAACACCAGUGGCGAAGGCGCUCCGCUGGGCCAUAACUGACGCUCAUGGACGAAAGCUAGGGGAGCGAAAGGGAUUAGAUACCCCUGUAGUCCUAGCCGUAAACGAUGAACACUAGGUNUCGGGGAAUCGACCCCUCGGUGUCGUAGCUAACGCGUUAAGUGUUCCGCCUGGGGNGGUACGCGACGCGAGUAGUGAACGUACAAUAGAAGUUAGUACGGCGUGAGACGCGCCGACGGACGACGACGAGGGAGUAGG